UAACAAGUGAUAACAGAUAAUAAAGAAUGUAGCUUAUCUGUUUUAAUACUACGAGAUAAAGUAGUUGAGAAAAUUCAUGUAGGCAAUGCAGUAAAAGAUAGUAAACUUUCUAAAAUGGUCUGAAUGCGAAGUGACUGUGGCUGGGUGUAUGGGACAAGGAUUCGGGUCCUUACUAUCUGAUCAACAGAAAAGAAUAAUCUCAAGUUAUUAUAUUUCUUAAUCACAUAAUGACUUUUUAUUGAUUGAAAAUUAAGGAACCAAGUUACAUAUAUAGUAAAUCAUUCACGCAAUCGUUGUAAUCUCAGAUAAAUAUGAUAUCAAUGCGUGAGAACGUCAAGUGAGAAGAAGACAAACUAGGCGGUACAACUACUGCGAGUAUUAGGAGAAUAAGUAUAUAAUCCUAAUAUUAUGGGUAUUUAGCUGUAAGAUAACGUAAUAGUAUAUUCUCUUUUAUUCAUGUUUAUUUUAUAUGCAGUUAUAUUAUUGUUUCAAAGAAUGUUAAAAAUAAUAUUUAUAUUUAAGAAAGCAUGAUUUUCUCAUGAAGGUAUAUUUGACUUGCAGUAUAUUCUGUAAUAGUUAUUAUUUUUUUCUCUCCUGCAUACUGUAAGGAGUACUGGCACAAACCAAUACAUGUAAGUGAUUUAUAUAAUGAUCACUAUUCAUUAUACCUUAUUCAAAGAGUACAUGUAUACAACAAAAGUAAAGCUUUGAUGCGACUUUUGAGAGUAUAAGUUUUAUAAUAAUAUAAAUGUAAAUAUAAAUAGCUGGCACAUAUACAAGGCGUUCCAAACAUCACUUUUCACCAAAUAUGCAGCAAACUUUCAUAUCUACUGCACUCGCUGCCUUUUCUCUACUAUUCCUUUGUCGCUAUAUAAUCUCUAGUUACACACUCUUUUAAUACAAACUGUAAAUUCUGUAUUAUAUUUUCUCUCUCUCUUUCUCUCUCUUUCUCUCUUCUCUUCCCUUAUCUUUCUCUCUCUGUUUUUCGUGUUGUUCUUAUUAUUCAGCACCAUAUAACGCAGAAGAAACCAUCUCCCUUCGUGCGAGCAUAAACUGUCUUUUUUCCUUUUGAUUACGUUAUAAGGCGUGAAAUUUCAUAAUAGCUGCUCCAAAUUAUAUUACGAUAACGAUGAAACGAAUGUGAUACAUAAAUGAUAUUACGAUAGAAUCAUGUAAAUCUCCAGAAAAAUGUUAUAAGCAUUAAUUCAUUAUUCAUCAACAUGGUAUCUAUAGUACUCACCUAAUUAAAUAUAAUUAAUGUAUGUAUCUAAUAAAUAUUAUUGUUUCUUGUGUGAAAUCA